rnacentral:rRNA from 1 species
UAGGGAAUCUUCCACAAUGGACGCAAGUCUGAUGGAGCAACGCCGCGUGAGCGAAGAAGGGUUUCGGCUCGUAAAGCUCUGUUGUUAAAGAAGAACGUGGGUGAGAGUAACUGUUCACCCAGUGACGGUAUUUAACCAGAAAGCCACGGCUAACUACGUGCCAA